GUUGCGGAGGUUGUCCAGAAUCAAAGAUUCCUUUCUUAGACAUUAUUUGUUUUGGGGGUCUCAAACAACUAAUACAUAACCAUCUCUGUUAUCUGACAUCACUUGAUUCCGCUCCAAUCUACUCCGCCUCUCCAAUGGCCUCCACCCGUCUCUUGCUUCAACUCUUCCUCCUCGCCACUUUCAUCGCUGUUUUCCUUGUUCUUGUAAACACUAUCCCUGCCACCACCUACCACCCUUUCAUUUCAAAGAACACCUCUCCCACCACCUCCUGCUACACAGCCAUCUUCAGCUUCGGCGACUCCCUCGCCGACACCGGAAAUUUUCUCCACUACUCCGGCAACAAUUCAGGUCCGGUUGCCCAGCUCCCGUACGGCGAGACAUAUUUCCACCGCGCCACCGGCCGGUUCUCCGAUGGGCGACUGAUCAUUGAUUUCAUCGCACAAGCCAUGGGGCUGCCUCUCGUGCCACCGUAUCUUGCCGGAAAACAUAGCCAGGAUUUCCGGCAUGGGGCGAAUUUUGCGGUGGCCGGAGCCACCGCACUUGACAACGACUUCUAUAGGGCCAAGGGGCUUAAAGUCGUAUGGCCGGAGUACUCGCUGGGAAUCCAGAUCAAGUGGUUCAAGCAAUUGCUGCCCUCUCUCUGCUCCUCGGAUUCGGAUUGCAAAAGCUUCAUGAGCAACUCGCUUUUCCUGGUGGGAGAGAUAGGAUGGAACGACUAUAAUCACCCAUUCGUCCAAGGAAUGACCAUAGAAGAGAUACGUAAACUUGUUCCUGACAUCAUCCAUGUCAUUAGCUCAGCCAUCACAGACCUGAUCCAACUUGGGGCAAAGACACUGGUAGUGCCUGGGAUCGUCCCAUCUGGAUGUGUCUCCUUGUAUCUUACCGUGUUUCAAAGCCAGAAAGGAGAAGACUAUGACCCACGGACGGGCUGCAUCAAGUGGGCGAACGAGUUCUCGGAAGAACACAAUCGUCUAAUUUCGGAGGAAUUAGACCGGCUCCGAAGGCUUCACCCUCAUGCCACCAUCAUCCACGCUAACUACUAUGAUGCCUUAAUGAGCAUCUUCCGUUCUCCACAGCAAUUUGGAUUUAAGAAGUCACCACUGGAUGCGUGCUGUGGAGGUGAUGGUCCGUAUAAUAUGAACAUCUCCUUAAGGUGCGGGGACCCAAAGACUACGGUGUGUCGCGAUCCGGCGAAGUUUGUGUUUUGGGAUGGGACGCACCUAACAGAGGCGGCUUACGAGGUCAUCUCCCGGGGUUUGUUGGAAGGACCGUAUGCCACUCCUUCCAUAAUCCAAACAUGCAGACAUUUAGAGUAAAAUACCAUUCGGUUGCAGUAGCUUUCAAGGUAAGAGAGCGAACAACGGCAUUACACGGUUACGAGGGAUCUCGGCCCCAUUUGCCAACCGGCGCAUGGCAUCUUGUGGUAGAUAAUUGGUGGCUAAUGUGGUUUUGACUUUGUUACAUGAUUCUGUGAAGCAUUUGAUCCGCUGCGAAUUCGAACCCAACCCAUCUGAGAGGAUAGCCAUCCAACCUCCACGCAUUGGACUUCCUAGAAGUGCUAAAAAUUUCAACCAUUACUGGCUAAGAAGAGCUUGGGAAUUUUGCAAAAUUUGGUGUGGACGGAAUGUGAGACUUUUUCUAAGAAGGAAUACUUCCAUGUUCUCUGUUCUUCAAUGGACUCUUCAAAAUUUUCACCAAUGAGAGCAUCUUUGUAAAGACGAGGUGAUCGAAGGGCUUUGAAAGCUUUGGAGCACCCUUUCAUCUUGGUGGUGCUCAUCGGACCGGUUAUGACGUGCAUCCCUUUUGCACCUUCCUUGUUUCAUCUUCAUCGGUAACAUUCCCGUUUGUAUGUGAUUUGUACAUUCCAUCUCUUUAUUAAUAAAUUGGAGGAAGUGUCCCACUCCAUCUCUCUUCUUCUUGUUGCCGCCUCCCCGGCAUCCUCUCUGCCCUCGCCCCCUCCUGUAUCCAAUAGCGGAGUGCUCGGAGCUCUACGCAUGUGCACCCUCAACGAAGCACGGCCGGGGGUUUUCGAUAUCUGACGACCCAAAGUCUAACUCCAUUAUUUACACCAAAAGCCGGUUGGUUAUCAUUUGCCAUCUCGACACCCUGUUGGAGGCGUCCAUCCAUGGCGAGCACUCUACCCAGGACACCGUCGUCUGCUCCAAUGCCUCUGGCUCUGGUACUAUUUGAAUAUGGGGCUGACACAGAGACGGCAUCUUAAAUAAGACGUUUCGCAUCCUCUCCAGUCAUACGAUAACCUCUAGUUUUCUCCCGACGGCCUUUGGCUUGUCGCCUCCGGGGCGACAAGGACAGGUCCUUCAUCCACGUUUCGAUGUGA